AGUGAACGCUGGCGGUAUGCCUAACACAUGCAAGUCGAACGGCAGCACAGUAAGAGCUUGCUCUUACGGGUGGCGAGUGGCGGACGGGUGAGGAAUACAUCGGCAUCUACUUUUUCGUGGGGGAUAACGUAGGGAAACUUACGCUAAUACCGCAUACGACCUACGGGUGAAAGCAGGGGAUCUUCGGACCUUGCGCGAUUGAAUGAGCCGAUGUCGGAUUAGCUAGUUGGCGGGGUAAAGGCCCACCAAGGCGACGAUCCGUAGCUGGUCUGAGAGGAUGAUCAGCCACACUGGAACUGAGACACGGUCCAGACUCCUACGGGAGGCAGCAGUGGGGAAUAUUGGGCAAUGGGCGAAAGCCUGAUCCAGCCAUACCGCGUGGGUGAAGAAGGCCUUCGGGUUGUAAAGCCCUGUUGUUGGGAAAGAAAAGCAGCAUGUUAAUACCCCGCUGUUCUGACGGUACCCAAAGAAUAAGCACCGGCUAACUUCGUG
rnacentral:rRNA from 1 species